GUCGGGCAUGGUGGCAUGUGCCUGUAGUCCCAGCUACUCGGGAGGCUGAGGUGGGAAGAUCGCUCCUGAAUCCAGGAGUUCUGGGCUGUAGUGCGCUAUGCCGAUCGGGUGUCUGCACUAAGUUCGGCAUCAAUAUGGUGACCUCCUGGGAGCAGGGGACCACCAGGUUGCCCAAGGAGGAGUGAACCGGCCCAGGUCGGAAAUGGAGCAGGUCACAACUCCCAUGCUGAUCAGUAGUGGGAUCGUGCCUGUGAAUAGUCACUGGACUCCAGCCUGGGCAACAUAGCAAGAUCCUGUCUCUU
ensembl:misc_RNA Metazoa_SRP Metazoan signal recognition particle RNA